CCUANGGGUGGCAGCAGUAGGGAAUUGUUCGCAAUGGGCGCAAGCCUGACGACGCAACGCCACGUGGAGGAUGAAGAUCUUCGGAUCGUAAACUCCUUUCGAUCGAGACGAAUGGCCUUCGGGUGAACAAUCCGGAGGAAUGACGGUACCGAGAGAAGAAGCCCCGGCUAACUCCGUGCCAGCAGCCGCGGUAAUACGGGGGGGGCAAGCGUUGUUCGGAAUUACUGGGCGUAAAGGGCUCGUAGGCUGCCAACUAAGUCAGACGUGAAAUCCCUCGGCUUAACCGGGGAACUGCGUCUGAUACUGGAUGGCUUGAGAUUGGGAGAGGGAUGCGGAAUUCCAGGUGUAGCGGUGAAAUGCGUAGAUAUCGGGAGGAACACCGGUGGCGAAGGCGGCAUCCUGGACCAACACUGACGCUGAGGAGCGAAAGCCAGGGGAGCAAACGGGAUUAGAUACCCGUNUANUC
rnacentral:rRNA from 1 species